CAGUGUUGGUCAUCUCUGGAGAAGCUCACCAUAUUGGAAGUUGUGUCCAUCUAGCUUGCUAACGCAUCUUAAAAAAGAGCCAGUAAACCCAAACUUUUGAACCCAAAAAACAAACCCAAACUUUUGAACCCAAAAACCAAACCCAAACUUUUGAACCCAAUAACCAAUUGAUUUACAGUGCCAGACAGUCUUGAAAGAGGGACCAUCUCCAGUCUGCCCUGCUGAUCUUCUGUCCUGCUGAUCUCCAGUCUGCCCUGCUACCCUCCGGAUCUGAGGACUGCGUUGGAAAAGCACACACACACCAUCUGUUUAGCUUUACAUUACAUAGGGUUAUUUAUUUUCUAUAAUCUUAUCACAUAUUUAAAUUAAUUUAGCUUGUUUAGUUUUUGUG